GAUGAACGCUAGCGGCAGGCUUAACACAUGCAAGUCGAGGGGCAGCAUGAGACGGAGAUUCGUCGAAGUCUUGAUGGCGACCGGCGCAAGGGUGCGUAACGCGUGAGCAACUUGCCCGUUUCAGGGGGAUAACCGGUGGAAACGCCGACUAAUACCCCAUAGUAUAACGAGAAGGCAUCUUUUUGUUAUUAAAGAAUUUCGGAAACGGAUAGGCUCGCGUGACAUUAGCUAGAUGGCGGGUAACGGCCCACCAUGGCUACGAUGCCUAGGGGUUCUGAGAGGAAGGUCCCCCACACUGGAACUGAGACACGGUCCAGACUCCUACGGGAGGCAGCAGUGAGGAAUAUUGGUCAAUGGUCUGACGACUGAACCAGCCAUGCCGCGUGAAGGUCACGGCCCUAUGGGUCUUAAACUUCUUUUGUAAGGGAGCAAUAAGUCCCACGUGUGGGAUGAUGAGAGUACCUUACGAAUAAGCAUCGGCUAACUCCGUGCCAGCAGCCG
rnacentral:rRNA from 1 species